rnacentral:rRNA from 1 species
UACGAGGGGGGCAAGCGUUAUUCAUCAUGACUGGGCGUAAAGGGUGUGUAGGCGGUCUAUUUAUGUUGAAAAGACAAAGGUCAAAAUAAAACUUUGAAAAAGCUUUUUAAAACUAAUAGACUAGAGUACUAGCGGGGAUAGUAGAAUUUCUAGGGUAGUUGUGAAAAACGUGAAACCUAGAGGGAACACCGAUGGCGAAGGCAACUAUCUGGAUAGUAUCUGACGCUGAAACACGAAAGUAUGGGGAGCAAACAGG